rnacentral:rRNA from 1 species
GAUGAACGCUGGCGGCGUGCUUAACACAUGCAAGUCGAACGGAAAGGCCAGUGCUUGCACUGGUACUCGAGUGGCGAACGGGUGAGUAACACGUGGGUGAUCUGCCCUGUACUUCGGGAUAAGCUUGGGAAACUGGGUCUAAUACCGGAUAGGACAACUUUUUGGAUAUUGUUGUGGAAAGCUUUUGCGGUAUGGGAUGAGCUCGCGGCCUAUCAGCUUGUUGGUGGGGUAAUGGCCUACCAAGGCGUCGACGGGUAGCCGGCCUGAGAGGGUGUACGGCCACAUUGGGACUGAGAUACGGCCCAGACUCCUACGGGAGGCAGCAGUGGGGAAGAUUGCACAAUGGGCGCAAGCCUGAUGCAGCGACGCCGCGUGGGGGAUGAAGGCCUUCGGGUUGUAAACUCCUUUCGCUAGGGACGAAGCUUUUUUGUGACGGUACCUGGAGAAGAAGCACCGGCUAACUACGUG